UACCCCGUCUUGAAACACGGACCAAGGAGUCUAGCAUGUGCGCGAGUCAUUGGGAGCUGAUAAACCCAGAGGCGCAAUGAAAGUGAACAGCGUCGUUUACGACCGCAGGGAUGAUGGCGGUCGGUAAUGCAAAUCGCCGUCCUUGCCCGCAAUCCCGAGGCGUUUCGAGAAAUGCCACCGUUGCGAUUAUCGAGACGCACUGAGAGCGCGCACGCUGGGACCCGAAAGAUGGUGAACUAUGCCUGGUCAGGUCGAAGUCAGGGAA
rnacentral:rRNA from 1 species